GAUGAAGAACGUAGCGAAAUGCGAUACGUAAUGUGAAUUGCAGAAUUCAGUGAAUCAUCGAAUCUUUGAACGCAUAUUGCGCUCUCUGGUAUUCCGGAGAGCAUGCUUGUUUGAGUAUCAGUAAACACCUCAACUUCCAUAUCUUUUUUGAAAUGGGAGUUGGACUUGAGUGAUCCCAACGCUUUUCCUCACCGAAAAGUGGCGGGUUACUUGAAAUGCAGGUGCAGCUGGACUUUUCUCUGAGCUAUAAGCAUAUCUAUUUAGUCUGCCUAAAAAACAGAUUAUUACCUUUGCUGCAGCUAACAUAAAGGAGAUUAGUUCUUGUGCUGACUGAUGCAGGAUUCACAAAGACAGGCUUCGGCCGACUUUGUAAACUCGAUCUCAAAUCAAGUAAGACUGCCCGCUGAACUUAAGAAUAUCAAUAAGCGGAGGA
rnacentral:misc_RNA from 1 species